CUGCUGUGUGCUAUUUAGCACCUGGAUCCUGAGAAGUCUUAGCCCAGCUGUGAAGAGGAGUUAGUGGAUAAGGAUGAUGGAAACACAGCUGUCUUCGUGAUUACCCAGGUCAUGGUUAGGAAUCUGUGCUGUGGACAUUACUCCACUUACCUAAUUGUGCAUGUGCUGCACACCCUGCAUGAACUGGCAUCCUGCAUCUCAGCCCUGAUGCCACGGUGUGAAGAACAGGUGGAGCUGUAUGAUGAGGCAGAGGCGACCUCCAAUCCUACAGGAUAGAAGAGUGGAGAGUUUGUUAGUAAGGCUGAAGGAGAAGGACGGGUUGAUGGUUAUGUCAAACUUCCUGUUCGUGCAUGACUUUGGCUCUGCCACAUGUAAAUCACAUGAAAAUACUACUUGAUAUGAAAAGGUGCGGAAUCUGACUUGAACAAGACUUUAACUUUUAUACAGGUCCUAGCUGUGUAAGGGAUAAUGCGGGCAGAAGGUCAGAUUCAUGCCCUGAGAUAUAUACUCCCAGGGAACUUCAAGGCUUGAGCUAGAGGCUUGAUCGUGUCCUUAAAUUUAGGAAAAAAAAAACAAAAAAAAAAAAAAAACAACAUAUCAGGACCAUCCACACAGCAGCAACAGUUGGCUGCCGCACGUGUACCUGCUCACUGGCCAUUUUGCAAACUGCUUGGCUGUGGCAGUUCAAGUCUCAGAAGGUGGGGGCUCUAAGUCUUAACAGCUUUCUUUGUCCAUUGUCUCUUUCCCCUAAUUAAAAUUUCAUUAUCAUUAUUUCUGUAAUAGUGUGAUAAUGCUUACUGCAGUGCUUCCACAGCCUGCCCAGCUCAGAUAGGGAUCUAACUGGAAGCUUGUUGAUGGCUGUAAAGAAAAUCUUAAUUUCCUGAGUACAAAAAUUAAUCAAAAGAAAAUCAUUUAUAUUUAUUUACCAUAUGCCAACUUUUCAUCGCUUCUUUUUUUUUUUUCUCCUUUCUAGCUAUUUCUGUGCAAUUUAUAUGUCUGAUUUUUUUGCAGAUACAGAAUAAGAACUGGGUAAACUUCCCUUUUCUUCACCUUCUAUUAGUAUGAAAAAAAUCAAUUGGGUCACUUUUUCAAUUUUACAUUGAGUUUGGUAAAACUAUUUAUGUUUGUACUCUGUAAUUUAACUUCUCCAAUUUGGGCUCAGAUAGUGAGGUAAAAUCAGUGUAAUUUUGAAAUGUUAAGGAGGACUUGUGCAGCUUGUGGAGUCGAUAGAUGUGAAAAAGCAGACUGAACAGGUAUUACUUUCUUUGAAAAUCUGUGAUUGCAAUGGCAAUAGCAAAGAAUCUGCUGUAAGGAAAAGGGCAGAUUUUUAUCUUGGAUUGCUAAAUAAUUUGAAUUGUACUAAUUUCUAACUUGCUUCCAUGUUUCUCACUGAAGUAGGGAUGUUCUCUCACUGAUGUGAGGUUGGACCAUGUGUAGAGCUUCACCACCCAUGUUUGUAGAAAGGCUGCUUCUCAGAAUAGGCUAAUUUUGAUCUGCAUUUAGAGUGUAUUUAGGAACGUCCUUACAAGAUUGAAACUUUCUAUGGCACUUUUAAGAAACAUUUUCAAAAGUACUCAACAGCUGCAAUUGUUUUAUGGCUUAAAUGCCUACUCAUGGCAGUGAACGUUUCGUGGCAACUAGCAAUUUCAGAGCAUUACUGAAUUUAUCCUAGAAUGGCUUGGGUGGAAGGGAUCUUAAGGAGCAUCUGGCUCCAACCCCCUGCCACGGUCAGGGACACCUCCCACUACAUCAGAGGGACUAGAAUUUAGUCUCACAGAUCUCUCUUAAGCUUCACACCUUUUGGUUCAAUUUCAUGAGAUGGUAAUAGUAGAGGACUAACCAAAGGAAAAAAUCACCUAUAUUCUGUGCAAAGGAGUAAAAACAUCCUUGCUGAUUUUUCACAAAAGUGAUCUGCAAAGUUUGUAUUAAUGAAAAAUAUACUUCCCAGAAUUAAUAUUUAGGCAGAGUAAAUUUGUUAAAUUUGUUAGUGUGUAAGUGUGCAAAUCUGAAAAGUAUAGAAGGCACUUUAAAAACUAAUGGAUAGGCUGUACUUUCCAACAACGACAAAAAAAAAAAAGACAAUCUUACAUGUUCCCUUACUUGUAGGUGAUAUUUUCUUCUGUAUUAUUGUCCAAAAAUAUAUGCAAACCUGACGUGUUGCCUACUAGGGUAUUAUAUUUUCAGUUUUUAUGUACUAACUUCUGUUGACUUCUUUGGUACAAAAAUCAACCUCACAUUAUUUUCUUUUUUAUAAAUACGAUGGAAAAAAAAGCAGUUCAAGAAGUAAGGGAAAUGUUGUCAUAUAGAGUAUUAGGAUAAUUGGAGAGAAGACACAGAUGUCAUGUUUAAAAUCUAGCAGGAGAAAGGCUUAUUGUUUAAACACAAAAUAUUACAUCUGCUUCAGAGAUAUUCGGAAAGCAAUGAUUUGUUUUUUCAGUUUUUCAUAGCUGGUGAUAUGAAACCAGUGAUAAAAAUCAAAUUGAAAAAACUACUGCAAUAAUUUUCUCUUAAACUGGAACUAUCACUCAAAUCUUGACUCAAAAAGUCUAAGAUGAAAUUCCAAACCUAUGAACUUCAUUGGGAAAAUGGGACCGUGAUACUUCUGCGUGAUGCCCCCAGCCUUCAUUUAGGGAGAUAAAUUUUGUUAACAUAUUUGAAGCAUGGUGAGUUCUGUUUAGGUUAAGACAGAUGCCUGGUAUGUCUUGGUAUUUCUGAUUAAUAUAUCCCGAGGUCUGGUUUGCCUUAACCUCUUUGCAAGUAAGCAGACUGUCAUAAGUGCAUUAACUCUUGCCACUUGGUGUUGUGUUACGUAAAGUGAAGCUGAAAUGUCAGCUGUACCUUUUGAUUUUAUUCAGUGUUCUCAAGAGUAAACUUCAAUCUAACAUACAUAGAUAAAACAUACAAAUAAGCACUUUGUAAGUAUAGUGUUAGCUGGUAUUCUGCCUUUUUGUAGGCUCAGUUCUGUCUGCCAACACCCAGCAUCCAUUUGAAGACGGUGAGCUUUUGGUUGUGUGGGAGUGCCGAGCUGGGGCUUUGUAGUCCAGAAGUAGUCAUCAAACUUAUUUAUAUUCAUGCAGUAGUCUUUUUGAAAAAAUAACGCUGGAUGAAUAGAUAACGAAAUUGUGGUGACCUAUGGGACUAUUUUACAAUCAAUGCAUGCCCUAAAAUACUGCUUUGUAACAUCUGUUUUAUACUAAAUGUUGGUGUUAAAGUGAGCCUUCUUAGCCAUUUGACAGUGACAUACAACGAUAUUUAUAAACCUGUUAUAAUAAAUGCUUUUUUUAGUCUAAGAAAAUGUGUGGU
rnacentral:lncRNA from 1 species